GAUUGCGUCCGAGAUUCGAGAUGAGUUCGACUGGUUUGUGCUGGCCUUCUCUUAUAUCACACUCAUCGAGGAUAAUAAUAGUGUUCGAAGGACGUCCUUAACGGUAUCUAGACGUUAAGGGAGUUUUGGGAACUAUAUGUUAGGUGUAUCUAACUUAUCGAGGAUAACAACAUCGAUGGAGGAUGUAAUAUCACGAAAAUAUCAGUGUAGAAAAGCUCUCAAAUCUUCAUCGCCAUCUUAGUGCAACAAAAACUCACGUAAUUCCGAAUGGAAGUUUGAAACUAAGUCCUGCUACAGUGAUAAGAAAUUAUUAUGAAAUGUAUUAUUCUGCGUAGUGAAUACCAGCCUUAACCAGCUUUAAUGGUCACUUUUUAUCAAUGAAAGUUAACGCCACUUCAGAGAUAAGCAUAAUAAUUUAAAGGAAUGCAAUUUUA